GACGAACGCUGGCGGCGUGCCUAACACAUGCAAGUCGAGCGGGGACACAAGGGAGCUUGCUUCCGAGUGUUCUAGCGGCGGACGGGUGAGUAACGCGUGAGCAACCUUUCUCUCAGUGGGGAAUAACACAGGGAAACUUGUACUAAUACCGCAUGAGACCACAGCAUCGCAUGGUGCAGGGGUCAAAGAUUAAUCGCUGAGAGGUGGGCUCGCGUCUGAUUAGAUAGUUGGUGGGGUAACGGCCUACCAAGUCGACGAUCAGUAGCCGACCUGAGAGGGUGAUCGGCCACAUUGGGACUGAGACACGGCCCAAAACUCCUACGGGAGGCAGCAGUGGGGGAAUAUUGGGCAAUGGGGGAAACCCUGACCCAGCAACGCCGCGUGAAGGAAGAAGGCCCUUCGGGUUGUAAACGUUCUUUUACCUACGGUACGAAGAACGUGACGGUA
rnacentral:rRNA from 1 species